rnacentral:misc_RNA from 1 species
UUAACUUAUUUGCUUGUUUACUCAGAGAUGCCACAGAGAUGCAGAGUUUCGUACCUCCGGCGGGCGGCCCCACACCCCGGAGGGGUGGGGCCACGGCCCGGGGCCCGGAGACCGGGCCCGCGAGCGCUCCCGCCGAAGCAACGCUGAUGGAUAGGUUCGCGAUGGUUAUAAGCAGCCUUUCGGCGCUUCUUGUAAUGAUCCCUCCGCUGGUUCACCAACGGAGA